rnacentral:rRNA from 1 species
GACGAACGCUGGCGGCGUGCCUAAUACAUGCAAGUUGAGCGAUGAAGAUUGGUGCUUGCACCAAUUUGAAGAGCAGCGAACGGGUGAGUAACGCGUGGGGAAUCUGCCUUUGAGCGGGGGACAACAUUUGGAAACGAAUGCUAAUACCGCAUAACAACUUUAAACAUAAGUUUUAAGUUUGAAAGAUGCAAUUGCAUCACUCAAAGAUGAUCCCGCGUUGUAUUAGCUAGUUGGUGAGGUAAAGGCUCACCAAGGCGAUGAUACAUAGCCGACCUGAGAGGGUGAUCGGCCACAUUGGGACUGAGACACGGCCCAAACUCCUACGGGAGGCAGCAGUAGGGAAUCUUCGGCAAUGGACGAAAGUCUGGCCGAGCAACGCCGCGUGAGUGAAGAAGGGUUUCGGAUCGUAAAACUCUGUUGGUAGAGAAGAACGUUGGUGAGAGUGGAAAGCUCAUCAAGUGACGUUAACUACCCAGAAAGGGACGGCUAACUACGUG